rnacentral:rRNA from 1 species
UACGUAGGGACCGAGCGUUGUCCGGAAUCAUUGGGCGUAAAGAGCGUGUAGGCGGCCACUUAAGUCCUGCGUGAAAUCUUGCGGCUCAACCGCAAGCGGUCGUGGGAAACUGGGUGGCUAGAGUGCGGGAGAGGAGAGUGGAAUUCCCAGUGUAGCGGUGAAAUGCGUAGAUACUGGGAGGAACACCGGUGGCGAAGGCGGCUACCUGGACCGGUUCUGACGCUGAGGCGCGAAAGCGUGGGUAGCAAACAGG